AGUCUCUAAGAGUGAUUACAGCUGUGAGUCUUUCUGGGUAAGUCUCUAAGAGUGAUUACAGCUGUGAGUCUUUCUGGGUAAGUCUCUAAGAGCUUUGCACACCUGGAUUGUACAAUAUUUGCCCAUUAUUCUUUAAACAAUUCUUCAAGCUCUGUCAAGUUGAUUGUUGAUCAUUAUUAGAUAACCAUAUUCAAGUCUUUCCAUAGAUCUUCAAGCCGAUUUAAGUCAAAACUGUAACUAGACCACUCAGGAAUAUUCAAUAUCUUCUUGGUAAGUAACUAAAGUGUAGAUUUGGCCUUGUUUUAGGUUAUUGUCCUUCUGAAAGGCGAAUUCAUCUCCUCAUUGUCUAUUGGAACACAGACUGAACCAGACUUUCCUCUAGGAUUUUGGCUGUGCUUAUAGCUGUCUACCGUUUAUUUUUAUCCUAAUAACUCCCUAGUCCUUGCCAAUGACAAGCAUACCCAUAACAUGAUGCAGCCACCGCCAUGCUUGAAAAUAUGAAGUGGUACUGAGUGAUGUGUUGUGUUGGAUUUGCCCCAAACAAAACGCUUUAUUCAGGACAAAAAGUUAAUUUCUUUGCCGAAAUGUUUUCAGUAUUACUUAAGUGCCUUGUUGCAAACAGGAUGCAUGUUUUGGAGUAUUUUUAUUCUGUACAGGCUUUUUUAAAUCUGUCAUUUAGGUUAGUAUUAUGGAGUAACUAUGGAGUAACUACAAUGUUUAUCCAUCCUCAGUUGUUUUCUCCUAUCACAGUCAUUACACUCUGUAACUGUUUUAAGGUCACCAUUGGCUUCAUGGUGAAAAUCCUGAGCGGUUUCCUUCCUCUCCGGCAACUGAGUUAGGAAGGACGUCUGUAUCUUUGUAGCGACUGGGUGUAUUGAUACACCAUCCAAAGCCUAAUUAUAACUUCACCUUGCUCAAAGGGAUAUUACACAUUUUACCCAUCUACCAACCGGUGCCCUUCUUUGCGAGGCAUUGAAAAAUCUCCUUGGUCUUUGUGGUUGAAUAUGUGUUUGAAAUUCACUGCUCGAUUGAGGGACCUUACAAUUAUCUGUAUGUGUUGGGGUACAGAGAUGAGGUAGUCAUUUAAAAAUCAUGUUAACCAAUAUUAUUGAACACGGAAUGAGUCCAUGCAACUUAUUAUGAGAUUUGUUAAGCACACUUUUACUCCUGAACUUAUUUAGGCUUACCAUAAAGGGGUUGAAUACUUAUUGACUCAAGACAUUUCAGCUUAAAAUGUUUUAUUAAUAAAUAAAAAAUUAGACUAACAAAAUUCCACUUUGACAUUAUGGGGUAUUGCGUGUAGAUCAGGUAUUGUGUAUUACAUUGUAAUUCAGACUGUAAACCAUUUAAAAUUCAGACUGUAAACCAUUUUAAAAUCAGACUGUAAACCAUUUUAAAAUCAGACUGUACACCAUUUUAAAAUCAGACUGUACACCAUUUUAAAAUCAGACUGUAAACCAUUUUAAAUUCAGACUGUAAACCAUUUUAAAAUCAGACUGUAAACCAUUUUAAAUUCAGUCUGUAAACCAUUUUAAAUUCAGGCUGUAACAACACAAUGUGGGAGAAGUUAAAAAGGUGUGAAUCCUUUCUGAAGGCCACUGUACAUACAACCGUUGCUAUGGGACCAAGAACAUUGCUACAGUACUGUGUUGUUUAUAGCACACUUAUUUAUACUGUAUCACACUGUAGAUAUAUGCCACUCAGAAAGCAUGCAGGACAUUAUUAAGGUCAUUACGGUAAGAUUAUAAAUUAACCAUAUGAAAUAAAGAUGAGAGGAAUAUUAAAACAGGGAUUUUACCACUGAGGAAGUCACGUGGUCUGUAUGACUAAUUUGGACUAGAUAUAUACCUUAUUCAUCACUGACUCCAUCCAAUCUACGUCCCACAUAAAGUAUUCUAUUGUGGACCCUUCAAUUUCUACCCUACUCAGUGAUAUUCUGAUAUAACAAUGUAAUAUUUAAGUCCGGAACAGACUAUCCUAAGGCUUUGUGAACUUUUGAGCGCUGUGCUUUAAUAUGCAAAAAACAGGUUACUAUACAAUACAUUGUCCUGACUGACACUGCUGUAUCCAUCACUGAUAUCCAUUCACAUCUUAAUAACUGCCAAAUACAUUACACUACAUUUUGUUUGGUCUGGAAAUGACUUUUGUAAAACUGUGUUGUCUGUCACCUUAAAAAAAAAAAAGACUUGAAAAGUGAUUAAAGAUCCAGGGUGAAUGUCGGAUGUGUUGUUGUGGUUAUAGUGAGCUGUUUGUCAAAUGGCAUCCUACUCGUCAUACUGUCUAGUGCACUACUUUUGACCAGGGCCCAUGAGCUCAGGGUCCAUAGGGUUAGGGCCCAUAGAGGUCAGGGCCCAUAGAGGUCAGGGCCCAUAGGGUUAGGGCCCAUAGAGGUCAGGGCCCAUAGGGUUAGGGCCCAUAGAAGUCAGGGCCCAUAGAGGUCAGGGCCCAUAGAGGUCAGGGCCCAUAGAGGUUAGGGCCCAUAGAGGGCAGGGCCCAUAGGGUUAGGGCCCAUAGAGGUCAGGGCCCAUAGGGUUAGGGCCCAUAGAGGUCAGGGCCCAUAGAGGUCAGGGCCCAUAGGGUUAGGGCCCAUAGAGGUCAGGGCCCAUAGAGGUCAGGGCCCAUAGGGUUAGGGCCCAUAGGGUUAGGGCCCAUAGAGGUCAGGGCCCAUAGGGUUAGGGCCCAUAGAGGUCAGGGCCCAUAGGGUUAGGGCCCAUAGAGGUCAGGGCCCAUAGAGGUCAGGGCCCAUAGGGUUAGGGCCCAUAGGGUUAGGGCCCAUAGAGGUCAGGGCCCAUAGAGGUCAGGGCCCAUAGGGUUAGGGCCCAUAGAGGUCAGGGCCCAUAGGGUUAGGGCCCAUAGAGGUCAGGGCCCAUAGGGUUAGGGCCCAUAGAGCUCAGGGCCCAUAGGGUUAGGGCCCAUAGAGGUCAGGGCCCAUAGAGGUCAGGGCCCAUAGGGUUAGGGCCCAUAGAGCUCAGGGCCCAUAGGGUUAGGGCCCAUAGGGUUCAGGUCAAAAGUAGUGCACUACAUGGGGAAUAAGUAGGGUGCCACCUGGGGGACACAAUUCAUGUUGAAGUAGAUGGUUUCCUUCAGAGCUCUGGUCCUGUAUCUCUCCUUAGCCCGAAAAGCAACUCUGUUUUCUAUUGAAGUUUGUAAAAUAAGCGCUUUGAAAUAAAAUAACAAAUGAUAUCUCAUACUCUAGCCUGCUCUGGAAAUGUUUAAAAAUGCAAUUAUCGAUGAAUGAAAGCUUGCAUUACAUUACCCCAUUGAUUAAAGAUUAUAUUACUGAGAAUAGAUUUUUUCAUGUCAAUUGACUUCUUAACUUCGCAUGUUUCCCAAAUGGCACCCUAUUCUCUACAUAGGGCACUACUUUUGACUAGAGCACUAUGGCCCCUGGUUAAAAGUAGUGCACUUUGGGAAUAGGGUGCCAUUUGGGUUGCUGCCCAUUAAAUAAGCCUUGUGUUUUGAUUGUGUAACUGAAGGUCAGGGCUGUAGUUGAUCCCUGGACUAGUGGGUCUCAUCUUUACAAGCAUUUUGCUACACUCGCAAUAAUCAUUUGCCAACCAUUUAUAUGUGACCAAUAAAAUUUGAUUUGAAAA
ensembl:lncRNA